GGGAGAGAGGCAGAGAGAGGAAGGAGGUAGAAGCCAUGGGUGGCGGCAAUGGCCAGAAGGCAAAGAUGGCUAGAGAGAGAAAUAUGGAGAAGCUCAAAGGCCAGAAAGGAAGUCAGCUCGAAACUAACAAGAAGGCUCUGACCAUCCCGGUUUUUUUUAUUAUUAUUGUUUUUUUGCAAGGUUUGUAUGCAA